CGCUCAUAUAAAAGUAAACGUACCGGUUCUCGUUAGAUCACCGAAGUUAAGCAUCAUUGGGUACUAGGGUGGGUGACCACCUGGGAACACUGCGUGCCGUUG